rnacentral:rRNA from 1 species
GGCGAGGGGAGUGAAAAAGAACCUGAAACCGUGUACGUACAAGCAGUGGGAGCCCCACCACCAAAGCAUUCUCUGGUGUUGAAGGCCCUGCAAAGCAGCAUCGCGGUGGCGGAGCGUCGUUUGCGACGCCCAACACACAAAACAAGCGGUGAGUGCUUUGGGGUGGGGUGACUGCGUACCUUUUGUAUAAUGGGUCAGCGACUUAUAUUCUGUAGCAAGGUUAACCGUAUAGGGGAGCCGUAGGGAAACCGAGUCUUAACCGGGCGUUAAGUUGCAGGGUAUAGACCCGAAACCCGGUGAUCUAGCCAUGGGCAGGUUGAAGGUUGGGUAACACUAACUGGAGGACCGAACCGACUAAUGUUGAAAAAUUAGCGGAUGACCUGUGGCUGGGGGUGAAAGGCCAAUCAAACCGGGAGAUAGCUGGUUCUCCCCGAAAGCUAUUUAGGUAGCGCCUCGUGAAUUCAUCUCCGGGGGUAGAGCACUGUUUCGGCUAGGGGGCCAUCCCGGCUUACCAACCCGAUGCAAACUGCGAAUACCGGAGAAUGUUAUCACGGGAGACACACGGCGGGUGCUAACGUCCGUCGUGAAGAGGGAAACAACCCAGACCGCCAGCUAAGGUCCCAAAGUCAUGGUUAAGUGGGAAACGAUGUGGGAAGGCCCAGACAGCCAGGAUGUUGGCUUAGAAGCAGCCAUCAUUUAAAGAAAGCGUAAUAGCUCACUGGUCGAGUCGGCCUGCGCGGAAGAUGUAACGGGGCUAAACCAUGCACCGAAGCUGCGGCAGCGACGCUGAUGCGUUGUUGGGUAGGGGAGCGUUCUGUAAGCCUGUGAAGGUGGCCUGUGAGGGUUGCUGGAGGUAUCAGAAGUGCGAAUGCUGACAUAAGUAACGAUAAAGCGGGUGAAAAGCCCGCUCGCCGGAAGACCAAGGGUUCCUGUCCAACGUUAAUCGGGGCAGGGUGAGUCGACCCCUAAGGCGAGGCCGAAAGGCGUAGUCGAUGGGAAACGGGUUAAUAUUCCCGUACUUGGUGUUACUGCGAAGGGGGGACGGAGAAGGCUAUGUUGGCCGGGCGACGGUUGUCCCGGUUUAAGCGUGUAGGUGUGUGUUCCAGGUAAAUCCGGUUCACUUUAACACUGAGGCGUGAUGACGAGGCACUACGGUGCUGAAGCAACAAAUGCCCUGCUUCCAGGAAAAGCCUCUAAGCAUCAGGUAACAUCAAAUCGUACCCCAAACCGACACAGGUGGUCAGGUAGAGAAUACCAAGGCGCUUGAGAGAACUCGGGUGAAGGAACUAGGCAAAAUGGUGCCGUAACUUCGGGAGAAGGCACGCUGACACGUAGGUGAAGUGAUUUACUCAUGGAGCUGAAGUCAGUCGAAGAUACCAGCUGGCUGCAACUGUUUAUUAAAAACACAGCACUGUGCAAACACGAAAGUGGACGUAUACGGUGUGACGCCUGCCCGGUGCCGGAAGGUUAAUUGAUGGGGUCAGCGCAAGCGAAGCUCCUGAUCGAAGCCCCGGUAAACGGCGGCCGUAACUAUAACGGUCCUAAGGUAGCGAAAUUCCUUGUCGGGUAAGUUCCGACCUGCACGAAUGGCGUAAUGAUGGCCAGGCUGUCUCCACCCGAGACUCAGUGAAAUUGAACUCGCUGUGAAGAUGCAGUGUACCCGCGGCAAGACGGAAAGACCCCGUGAACCUUUACUAUAGCUUGACACUGAACAUUGAGCCUUGAUGUGUAGGAUAGGUGGGAGGCUUUGAAGCGUGGACGCCAGUCUGCAUGGAGCCGGCCUUGAAAUACCACCCUUUAAUGUUUGAUGUUCUAACGUGGACCCGUGAUCCGGGUUGCGGACAGUGUCUGGUGGGUAGUUUGACUGGGGCGGUCUCCUCCUAAAGAGUAACGGAGGAGCACGAAGGUUGGCUAAUCCUGGUCGGACAUCAGGAGGUUAGUGCAAUGGCAUAAGCCAGCUUGACUGCGAGCGUGACGGCGCGAGCAGGUGCGAAAGCAGGUCAUAGUGAUCCGGUGGUUCUGAAUGGAAGGGCCAUCGCUCAACGGAUAAAAGGUACUCCGGGGAUAACAGGCUGAUACCGCCCAAGAGUUCAUAUCGACGGCGGUGUUUGGCACCUCGAUGUCGGCUCAUCACAUCCUGGGGCUGAAGUAGGUCCCAAGGGUAUGGCUGUUCGCCAUUUAAAGUGGUACGCGAGCUGGGUUUAGAACGUCGUGAGACAGUUCGGUCCCUAUCUGCCGUGGGCGCUGGAGAACUGAGGGGGGCUGCUCCUAGUACGAGAGGACCGGAGUGGACGCAUCACUGGUGUUCGGGUUGUCAUGCCAAUGGCACUGCCCGGUAGCUAAAUGCGGAAGAGAUAAGUGCUGAAAGCAUCUAAGCACGAAACUUGCCCCGAGAUGAGUUCUCCCUGAGACUUAGAGUCUCCUGAAGGAACGUUGAAGACGACGACGUUGAUAGGCCGGGUGUGUAAGCGCAGCGAUGCGUUGAGCUAACCGGUACUAAUGAACCGUGAGGCUUAACCUU